AGAGGACUGGUCAAUGAUGAGGAAGGACCACUCUUAGCAAAUAUUCUCUUUCUGCUUUCAUUCCUUAGAGCAUGUGCAUACACUCUCAGCCUACUCCCACUGCAAGUCUUUACCUCACAAGGUGAUGAAUAAUAGAAAGGUUGUAACUGCAUAGAAGAAUCUUCCAUUUGGCUGGGGAGCUGGAGCUGCAGAGACAGAAGUGAGUGCAUACACCAUAAAGAAGAUACCCAUCCCAACCUUUCUGGCUCUCUCUUCCUGGUAGCGUGUGAAACAGGAGUGAUGUGAGCUGCUGAGUCAGGGGAAGGGCAGUUGCUUUAUCUUCUAUGUGUCUGAGCAAGGGGCAUCUCUAUUUCUUUUAGGUUCAAUCCUUCUUGAUUUUGUGUGAAUGAGCAUUCUAAGACUGAUCUAUGUUUCUGACCCUACUUCUUGUUAGUUAUGUCUUUUUCACUUCAGAUGCUGAUCAAAGAGAAGAACCUAUAGAGGAGUGAAUGAGGAGGAAAAAACUGAGAAGAGAGAGAGAAAGGCAGGAGGCCAUUCCUCUGAUGAAUUCUCCCAUGAAUGAAGAGAGAUGAUUGAUAAAGGGACAUGGGGAACUUACAGUGGAUGAGAGGCCUCUGGAACUUGGUGCUUGAAAAAUCUACUUGCUCUACAUUAGUGAGGAGGGCUCAUCUGCUAAGAUCUCCAGGAAUAGAACCACAGACCUCUUGUGGGUGAAAUAGAAUGAGCCCCAACACUUUGCAAAGCCAGCAUAGAUGGCUGUUUGAAGAAUGACAUCUGUGAAUGGUUUCUCACUGUCUUGCAAGCAUUUGAAAUGCUUCUUAUGUUGAAAUGGUUGCUGUUGACAGAACUUUCCAGUGACCUAAACUUUCGAUGAAAAGAAUGAACCAACAACC
rnacentral:lncRNA from 1 species